UCCAACGUGCGGUCACGCUGGUUUUGGGGUGUUUGGAAAUGUUCGAUAUUUGCGUAAAAAAAUUCAAAGUUAAACGAAACUAACUAUGUAUUAAACGCUUAGUUUAAUUAGUACUAAGUGAAGUGGCCGCAACCAUUUCAAAAAAGUGCACACCAAAUACGACAAAAUUAAUAAGCGCAUUUCGUUAGAGAGCAAAGCAUUAAGCAGUAUUGUGUGUGCGUGAGAGCGAGCUAUACCAAAGAAAAGAAAAAGAGACUCUCGGGAAGGAAGAUGUGUCUAUACUACGGCCUAAAUGAAUGAAAUGUGAAAAGUGUGUGUGUAUAUGUAAGGCAAGGCAAGGCAAGGCAGGCGACCAACCGAGCGCGCGUGAGUGUGUGUAAGUUGGUUGGUGUUUGUGUAUGUGCAUGCGUAUUUGCCUGAAUACGUAGUGUGUGUGUUGGUGUUGGUGUUGGUGUUGGUGUGAGCGCCUGCACACUGAAAGAAUCAAUAAAGGAUGUGCUGGAGAUUUUUGCAACUGUGAAGCAAGGAAAAGCAACAGCAAAAGCAGCAACAACAACUGCUUCAAUUUAGCAGCUGCAGGUGCAACAAAAUAUUGUGCAUUCUAUUUUGUGCGUUCGCAAUGUAAUUUUCAAAAACGAUUUUGUGUAUUCAAAAAUAAAAAGAAAACACCACAAAAGUUAAAAGCGAAAAAAAACACACGACACUAAAAACUAAAGGCAAAAAAAAAAAAACGUCGAAGAGAAAAAACUGCAAGUGGCAGGAGACGAAGUAGAAGAAGAAGGAGAAAGAGAAGCAGUAGUAACAGAGAAAUUGUAACUUGAAUCAAUCAAUCAAUCAAUCAGUGAGGCAAGCAGUCGAGUAAGCAGUGCACAAUAUGAAGUGCUGCGUAAUAAUUGCGUGGAUGCUGCUGGCGAUUGCAGAGCUCUGCGCCUGCGUUGAAGUGCACUUCGAGGCACCGGACAGCGGCUUCUUUCUGAAGCAUGCUCGCCAACCACCUGUGACACCGGAGAUCGCGAACGUGCAACAGACAUCAUCGUCGCUGCCACCGCUGAAGACCCGCUCCAACUAUGACUCGGUGCUGUCGCUGGAUCGCUUCACCGUCGUCGAGACCACGCAGCCCGUCUCGAUCCGCGCCAGCUACGGACCCUUCUCGACGAAGCAAACUGUGCCCGCUCGCUACAUUGUGCCCGACACUAUGGACGCAGCGAAUCAGGCAGGCGACUAUGUGAACAACUCGACGGCGACCCUGCUGGAGCUGCAGCAACCGAACAUGCAUUUGGACAUCUCGGCGCAUUUGGUGCGCAACACCGUCUCCCAGGAUUCCCCCGUGUUGCGUGUCCUCUUCCAUGCCGGCGCCGAUCCUGGCGGCCAUCUGCAGCGCCAAAAGGUGUGUGUUCUCCUCCACGUGGCCAUGGCCAACGAACAGCCUCUCAAAGGACGCUGCAUGCCGGAGGGCGAGGAUGGGGUCUGCGUUGCCGAGGUUGUUAUUCCCCUCAGCUGGUGGCCCGCAUUGCCAGCGCCACGUCACGGCUCGAAUGCGGCCCAAACACCGCUGCCCCCACCGAAGGCGCCGCAACGUUACGCCCAGGUUUCGUACAGCGUCUUUGAGCCACCGUUGCGAAAUCCCGAACAAUGCGAGCCCAAGGUACAAAUCCAACCGUUGACCACGUUCGCUCAGGUGCCGCUGUUGGCCGCCAAGACUGCGUUCAAGGAAUUGCGUGCCGAUGACUCGGUUACGUUCCUGUUGCCCCAACAUCCGUUGUAUCCCAUGUCCAAGCUGCAUGUGCCCGUCUUUCUGCAUCAAUAUGCCGAGCAGGAGCAACGAGUUGCUGCAUUUACGGUGCGCGCUCGCGUCAAGGCCGGACUGAGGAUUAUGGGUGCGAGUGCGUCGAGUGAUUUGUGGAGCAUUAGUAUUGAGAAGGAGAAUCCCAAGCAUACCACCGCACGUGUCACAGCCUUUCGCAAGGACAUUGACUCCUCGGCCAGCAGCAGCAGCGGUUCCAGCAUGGAGAGUCGCUCCAAUUACAGCAGCAGCAGCAGCGGUGGCAAUGGAAAUGGCAAUGGCAACGAGGUCUAUGAGGUCUUUUCGUGGCUGCUUGAGGUGGCCGAUGAUAGCAACGAUAUACUCGAUGGGGGCAAGAUUGUUUGGUCCGUGACCCAUGUGUAUGAUGCACCCAAGGAUAAGGACUCGUCGGAGUUGAUAGCGCCGGAUGAUACGAAAAAACGUUUGAUUGCCAAGCUCGAGAUCAACAAGGAUGACAUUCAGGCCGUGUUGCCGAUGGCCAAGAUCUGGGAGGUGAUGAACACCGCGGUGCUGACCGGUCGACAAGUUGCCCAGGCCAUGAAGGUCUUCAUUGUCUCGCAAGCCGGCAAAGUGGCGGACGUUACGCUUCAGAGUUCGUGCCACGCCGAAGACGAGAGCGUCAUCAAGGUUUCAUCGUCGUGCAGUUCCGUUUACGUGGAUGGCUCCGAGCAGCGUGGCUCAUCGAAUGCCUCGGUCAUUGUGAAGUAUGGCACCUAUGUGGGCGUGGCCAAGUUUAUUGUCUGGAUGCCCGAGUUUCCACUUGAAGUCUACAUAUCCGAUUUCCGUUUGUCCCAGAUCAAGGGAUGGAAGGUGACCGACGACAAUCACUACAUCCACAACAAACAAUCGCGUCGUCGCAAGAAGCGAUCGUACAUGUGGAGUCAGCACGGCACCAGCUACUACAACAAUGUGGGCGCCGACAAGAGCAUCUGUCGAGCACGCUACCAGCAGAGUCCCGUUGAGGUCUACGCCAAGUUCUUGGCCAUCGAUCAGAACUCUGGCCGCAUCAGCUACUUCAUAUCCCGUCGCACCGGACUGCGUGUCACAGAUCUUGUGCAGCCGCUGCUUCGCGUGGCAGAUCCCAAGAUUGCCUCACUCAAGGGUCGCAUACUGCAGGGCAAAUCGAUGGGACGCACCGAUGUCCAAGUGUUGUCACCGAUCACAGGACGAGUGAUUGGAACGAAGGAGAUCCGAGUCGGUAGCGACAAAGUCAAUCUAUCCAAGUUGAUUGUGCGCGUAAUAUCGGGAUUGCAAUUGACCAUAACACCGGAGAAUGCCAUUGAGAAUGGUUAUCUAGCCGAGACAUCAGUUACACACAAGUUGACGGCACAAUAUCAGGAGGGAUUGCUCGACAUUGAUUUAGAGUUUAGCGAUGGCUCAAAGACGCCUUUGCGUGACAUUGCUGUCGAGGAUUAUUUUCUGCUUGUGGAGAGUCUGGACACUGAGGUGGUGGCCUUUGCACCCAUGCUAGCAUCGCAUCAUCCACGUGUUAUUGCCGUCGGCGAGGGCAAUGGAAAUCUGUUGCGUGUCACUCUGCUGCUCUCUGAGGAAUGUCGCUUGCGUCGUGGCUCUGGAGCCGGUUCCAGUUCCGCAUCGAGUGCAUCGGUUGGCGUUGUCAAGCAGAAUAAACCAAAUGCUGCUCCGCUGGCAAGUGCUUUGGCCUCCAUUGAGGUGGACUUUAACAACGUGGACAUUGUGAGCAAACAGGAAUCGAUACAGAAUGAUGGCACCGUGGGACGCGAACGCAAAAACUAUCGCAACACCGGCGAUCUAGCGGACAUUAUUGUUGGCAUUCCAUUGCGUGACUCCAGUCAGCAGUAUGAGCCCACUGUCCAGGCGCGUCAACAUCGCGCCAGCAUUCAGGCUGUGCACAAGUCACAUUAUGGUAAUCGUGGAUUUGCUGGGGGCAACAUGUCCUCCAUGGAGCUGGGCAUGUAUGUCCUCCUGACCGCCUUCUGUUUUGCCAUCAUUGUCUUCGUCAUCUCGUGCGUGGUUUAUGCAUCCAAAUUUCGGCCGGCCAUGAUUGAAUCGGGCCUGGAUCCUUUAUCCAGCGGUGGCAAGGGAAAUGCCAGCAAUAAUGGUGCAGCUGGCGGUGGCGGAGGUUUUCGUGAUGUGCGUCUCAAGGAGUCGACGACGAAUGCCCAUGACUGGGUCUGGCUGGGACGCUCCACAAUCGAUCGGCAGUCGGUGGCCGUGGAUGCACCACCACCACAGCAGCAACAACAACAACAGCAGCAGCAGCCAGUGCAACAGCAACAGCAGCAUAUCAAUGCGCGUGAUUCUCGCAUGCGGAUCACCAGCAAUCCGAUCAUCACGUACGACAAUGGACGACGCAUCAGCUCGUUUGAUCAGCCGCAACCCAAGUUGCAAACACACAUUGUCCCCGCUUCCAACUUGAACAAACUGCACCAGGAACAACACUAUCUGGCCAAUGAGCGCAAGGAAACAGCGUUGGAUUAUAAGCCGCCAGUGCCGCCUCAUCGCAAUGUGGGCACGCGUGCCAUGUUGCCACCGCAGUUGCCACCGCAGACAGCGUCAAUCAAGGACAAGGAAUUGCUGAACAAGCGGCACAGUCAGCACUUUAAGCGCGAGCAUAUGCUGAAUGAGAACAACAAUGUUGCGCAGUCGUUGCCACAGCAGCAGCAGCAACAACAUCAACAACAGCAGCAGCCACAACAUCAACAACAACAGCAGCAGCAGCCGCCACAGUUGCAUCAUCAUCAUCAGCAGCAGCAGCAGCAGCCGGAACGUCAUCAUCAGCAUCAACGCAGUCACAGUCAUAGCCACAAUUUUAUGCAUGAGCCUGUGCUGCGUUCGGCUCACUUGAAGAUGAAGCAACAACAGCAGCUGCAGCAGCAACAACAACAGCAGCUGCAGCAACAGCACGAGGAGCUGCACAAUGCUGAAAAGCUGGUGGAGUACACAAAUCCGCAUCAGAAGAAUGCAUUUCAAUUCGAUUCGCUGACACCAAAGAGAGUUACCAAAGCAGCGGCCGUCGCUCAGGCUGCUCAGGCAGCAGCCGCCGCAGCAGCAGCUGCUAACUCAGCAGCGGCAGCAACAAUUGUGGCUCCAACAUCGCCAGCCAUAACACAAAUUAAAGAGAAUCACAACCACAGCAUAUUGAGCACCGUUGCCGAUGCGGCCAAUUCGAAUGCCACGGAUAAGAUUGUACGGCUGCCGACACCGCCGGGCACCUUGACCUCAUCAGCCGGAGGAGGCGGAGGCGGAGGAGGUUCGACUGCUGUCAGCAGCGAACCAACAACAAAAUCAUCGCGUGUGAAGAGGGCAACAGUUGUGGGCAAUCCGAUGUUCUCGGCAACUGUUGAUGACACAUUGGCACCUGGCGAGCGUCUGGGACUCGAUGAUCUCGACAUGGACUACGAGCAAAUCAUGCACUAUUUCGACAACCUAAAGGAAUCAAAUGCCUGAGUACAAGAGAUAAUUGCUAAAAUUCGCGAGAUAUUGUCAACAUUUCAUCAACGAUAUCAGAAUGUCGUUACGCCCAUGACAACGCCGACGAGGAAGCAAAUGCAGAUGCUUGAUCAGCUCGUCGAGGUGGCCGUUGCAGGUGUCCAAAAGGCAAUCCAAAAUGUUUAAAAAGCAAGCAACAAAAUAUGAAAAUAAGAAAAAGAAAAUACUCUCUCUCGACGCUGAAAUCAAGUCAAAAAAGCAAAACAAAAUUAACAAGUAUAUAGCAAGAACAACAGCAACAGCAACAAGAAAAAAAACAAAGGUAUUUAUUGCCUAGACUAAGUUCAUAUAGAAAGCAAAUAUAUAUAUGUACUUAUAUAUACGUAUAGUUAUAAUACCGAUAACAAAAUAUCGCACACACUUAGCACAAGUGGGUGUCACACCUUUGAAACUCUGUACUACUUAUAUACCAUAUACUAACUAUGGUAUAUUUGCAGUAUAUUUAGUAUAAAGUGCUUGAAAUGAAAGCAUCUGAAAGCAUAGCUUGUUCCAAUUGCUUCAACACACACAAUUAUUGCUUAUGAAAAUGCUUUUUGCAAAUGACAAAACCCCAAAAACAAAAUACUAUAUAUAAAGAACAAAUUUAAUGAAUAACUUAACCCAAAAAACAAAACAAAACAAGGAACGGACAAGUGUUAAGAAAAAAAAAACGACAUAUUUUGUACGAGAUUUCGGCCUCAAAUGCAUAUCUCUAAACUCUUAUUAGAACUCUGGGAAAAAAACCCAGAAGGAAACAAAAAAAAAAGGAAAAUCCAACAAACCAUUCAAGCUGAAUUUUUGCAUUUGUGUAUUUGUUAUGGUGUAACUCUCGUGUUUCUUUUUGAAAAUCAAAAAACCAAUUAAAUAAAAUCAAGAAUUAUAUAUAUAUGUAUUGUAUGACACGCCCCCCACUUGUGCUAUGUGUCUGUGUACAAUCCCCAAAUGGAAAAAAAACUGUAUGUAUAUCUCUUGGGGGAACGCGGAAGAAUUUCACAACAAAAAAUAUGAUAUGAAUAUUUAUAAUACAAACAAAAAUAUCGAUCGCUUUAUAACUAUAUAAGUUGACGCAAUCAUAAAAAUGAAAAUUACAAAAUAUUAUUAAAAAGAUAAUCCAUAAAAAAAAACGCGAAAAAAGGAGAAAGAAUCAAGAGAGGAGCAGAACAGAAAUGAAAAGUAUAUAGACGCUUAUGAGCUUUAUUUGAACGAUUUGCAUAACCGAAGCGACGAUAAAGCAUGGGAAAUGUGUAACCAAAAAUAUUAUAUGAUAUUACCGAGCGUUUAAGCUUUAUAUAAUAUUAAUAUUAAACUAUUUCUAGGGUAUACAUGCGUAUUUAUUAUUAUUAUUAUUAUUAUCAUUGAUGAUUACUUAAUUAUUAUUAUUAUUAUACUUGGAUUAUGAUUAUUGAACAAAUCUUUUAAAAAAAACAAAAGAAAAAACACAUAAAUCAAUUAUUAUACAAGAAAAGAGAAAUCAAUUGCAAAAAAAAAGCAAAAGAAAAAAAUCGUUUCGAACGCUGAUGCAAAAAGAAUUACGAAAAUAUAUAUAUGCCACAUUUUCGCUAUAUAUAUAUGUACAACUAUAUAUGUAUAUAGAUGUAUGUAUAAACUAACUGUAUGUGUAACUCACUCACGAUCUAUAUAUACAAGAAAAAAAUGAACCCAUGGCAUACGCAUAUCCAUAUAUAUAUGUAUAUAUAUAUAGAUAUAUAUAUGUGUGUGUAUAACUGUACAACAAAAUGCUAAAACUAUAUGAUUUGUGUAAUUUAUCGUUUCGAUAUAUAGAGAAGGAUAUAUUAGAACAACCCGAAAGCUAAUUCAUUCCAUUAGCAAAAGUUUUCUUCUUCGUUUUUAAUAUCUCGCACAUUAACUCAUCGUGGAUAAUCUAUCUCGAUAUAUAUAUUGAUAGCUAAUAUCCAUUUUUAUAUUUGUUGACUUCUUUUUCUUUUUUAUUAUCAAGUUGAAGUAUUACUUUGUGUUACAUCAUUACAUCAUUUUAAACAUUAUUUCAUAAUCAUAUGUUGUAAAUUGUUCCGUCCAACAAACGAAAAACAAAACAAAAAAAAAGAAACGAAACGAAAUAUAAAAAAAAAAACUAAACAAAAUCAUUGAAUAACUAAAACACAAAACAAAAAAACUAAAUAAGCGCAAAGCAAAAAAAAAGCAAUUGACGUUUUUUGUAUGUACAAGAAAACAACUCAGCAUCGAAAUUAACUACACACACAUACAUCACAAAAAUCAUUUAUUAUUAUCUAUUUCGAAUUAUUCAACUAUAUAUCUAUAUACGUGUAUUCUUACAGAACUCUGUAGUCUAAAAUCCUUCCACAACAAAAUGUAUAAAAAGUGUUUUCCUUUUUCCCAUUCUUAAAAAAUCGCAGGGAACGAAAAGAUACAGAAAGAAUUAUCUGAAAUUACUUCUUAUAUAUCAAUCAAUUAAAGAGAUCUGUAAAAAUGUCACAAAGAUGUUUCUUUGAGUAUUCUGCUGCACUUUUAUGAACGCAUUUAGAUUUAAGACGACGCCAUAUGAUACACAAUUAUCUCCCUGAGAAAUAAGAGCAACCCGCAAAAACGAUUAAUUAUAAAACAUUUUCAGAAAAUGAAAAUUGAGAAGCCUGAGGAAUCGAUCUGUGAAAUCUAGUUAAUAUAGAAAGGGCAUCAGAAUGAAGAAGAGACAAUAUAAAAUGGUUAAGAGUCUAUCCCAAAAUCAAACUGCAAAAGAUCUCUCUCACUCUAUAUCGCUUUCAAUCAUAUUAGAGACUACAGAGUAUUAUAAUAAUAUACGUAUAUAUAUAUAUUGUUGAUCAAUCUUUUAGUAUAUAUAUGUUUUAAAACUUAUCGUAUCUCAAAUUCUGCACAGACUUGGGCAUUUCUUUAACACACACACAGACCCAGAGAAACACACAAAUACAAACACACUCACACACACACACCAAUGCAGUAGUGCUUGCCGUGUCCAAAACCAUCCCCAGUGCUAUGUGCUAGUGCCAUAUUUAGAAAUCAAUCAUUCGUAGAGAAGAGGACGUCAAUCAUUUGGCAUAUUAUUGUAUGUGCCUAGAGCUUAACACGAGCUGAAACGCUUGUUCUCUCCCUCCAUACUUUAUAUGCGUAGAAUUAAAUCAUUUAAAACAAAAAAAAAAAAAAACAUAAAA